rnacentral:lncRNA from 1 species
UUUUGAAACCAUCUGCGAGGAUAUAGUUGUGUAUAGUACACUAAUUCCUCCAAAGAACAUAUACGGGGAAUUGAUACUACCACUAAGGAGUUGUUAGGGAGCUGUGGAACUAAGUGUAGAUGGGUCCAUGGCCCAGCAAACAGUCUCUGAGUGCCUCAGGCAAGUGUCUGAGUCAGCCUCAUAUAUUGACUAAAUUUAUAAAAUUUCCACAAAACCGACAAGAAAGGACUCUUAUUAAAGAACAAAUCAAAUAAUUAAACAACUACUAACUCGCUAGAGCUGCCAUAACCAACACUGCAUCACGCAUGGAAGAUUAACUACCAAAUAUAUGUUAUCGGAAAAUAAAACAUUAUUACAAUCAUUUUUA